rnacentral:rRNA from 1 species
GGUUAAGCGACUAAGCGUACACGGUGGAUGCCCUGGCAGUCAGAGGCGAUGAAGGGCGUGCUAAUCUGCGAUAAGCGCCGGUAAGGUGAUAUGAACCGUUAUAACCGGCGAUACCCGAAUGGGGAAACCCAGUGUGAUUCGUCACACUAUCAUUAACUGAAUCCAUAGGUUAAUGAGGCGAACCGGGGGAACUGAAACAUCUAAGUACCCCGAGGAAAAGAAAUCAACCGAGAUUCCCCCAGUAGCGGCGAGCGAACGGGGAGGAGCCCAGAGCCUGAAUCAGCAUGUGUGUUAGUGGAAGCGUCUGGAAAGGCGCGCGAUACAGGGUGACAGCCCCGUACACAAAAGCGCAUAUGCUGUGAGCUCGAUGAGUAGGGCGGGACACGUGGUAUCCUGUCUGAAUAUGGGGGGACCAUCCUCCAAGGCUAAAUACUCCUGACUGACCGAUAGUGAACCAGUACCGUGAGGGAAAGGCGAAAAGAACCCCGGCGAGGGGAGUGAAAAAGAACCUGAAACCGUGUACGUACAAGCAGUGGGAGCCCCACCACUAAGCCAGUGGUGAACUCCACAUA